AUAUAUAUAUAUGUGUGUGUGGGGGGGGGGUGUAUAUACAUAUAUAUAUAUGUAUACACACACACACACACACACACACACACACACACAUAUACAC
rnacentral:miRNA from 1 species